GUACCAUUAGCUCAGCUGGAUAGAGUACUUGACUACGAAUCAAGGGGUCGGGGGUUCGAAUCCCUCAUGGUACACCA
rnacentral:tRNA from 1 species